CGGCCGCCAACGGCCACUGCAACGGUCCCUACCGGGGAGGGCCGGCUUUUGCCGGCUUCCGGAGAAGGGAGGAAAGAGAGAGGUUUACCUAACACUGUAAAGAGAACGUUCAAUGAAAUACAAAGAAAAAGAUGAUUUUUUUGCUCCAAGAGAAUUAUUCCAGCCUUGGGGUGGAGUGGGUGUGGACAGUGAGCAGAAAAACAAGAAACCAAGUUCUGGGAGGAAAUAAAAUGAAUAUAAUCAGUGGAAAAUUCAGCAACGCAAUAUUGUGUGACAACAGUAAAUGACCAAUUUAUAAUUUAAAUUCUAUGAAAAAGAGAUUUAGAAGAGAGUUCUACCAAACCCACUGUUCCCUAGGGAAUAAAAUGAGUAACGCU
rnacentral:lncRNA from 1 species